rnacentral:rRNA from 1 species
UGGGGAAUUGUUCGCAAUGGGCGCAAGCCUGACGACGCAACGCCGCGUGGAGGACGAAGACCUUCGGGUCGUAAACUCCUUUCGAUCGGGAAGAAUGGCUCCGGGGUUAAUAGCCCCGGAGAAUGACGGUACCCCCAAAGGAAGCACCGGCUAACUCUGUGCCAGCAGCCGCGGUAAUACAGAGGGUGCAAGCGUUGUCCGGAAUUACUGGGCGUAAAGGGCGCGUAGGCGGCUUGAUAAGUAGGAGGUGAAAUUCCAUGGCUCAACCAUGGAUCGGCCUUCUAGACUGUCAGGCUUGAGCACGGUAGAGGCAGAUGGAAUUCCCGGUGUAGCGGUGGAAUGCGUAGAGAUCGGGAAGAACACCAGUGGCGAAGGCGGUCUGCUGGGCCGUUGCUGACGCUGAGGCGCGACAGCGUGGGGAGCAAA